rnacentral:rRNA from 1 species
AGAGUUUGAUCCUGGCUCAGGACGAACGCUGGCGGCGUGCUUAACACAUGCAAGUCGAACGGAAAGGCCCUUCGGGGUACUCGAGUGGCGAACGGGUGAGUAACACGUGGGUGAUCUGCCCUGCACUUUGGGAUAAGCCUGGGAAACUGGGUCUAAUACCGAAUAGGACCACGCGCUUCAUGGUGUGUGGUGGAAAGCUUUUGCGGUGUGGGAUGGGCCCGCGGCCUAUCAGCUUGUUGGUGGGGUAAUGGCCUACCAAGGCGACGACGGGUAGCCGGCCUGAGAGGGUGACCGGCCACACUGGGACUGAGAUACGGCCCAGACUCCUACGGGAGGCAGCAGUGGGGAAUAUUGCACAAUGGGCGCAAGCCUGAUGCAGCGACGCCGCGUGAGGGAUGACGGCCUUCGGGUUGUAAACCUCUUUCAGCACAGACGAAGCGCAAGUGACGGUAUGUGCAGAAGAAGGACCGGCCAACUACGUGCCAGCAGCCGCGGUAAUACGUAGGGUCCGAGCGUUGUCCGGAAUUACUGGGCGUAAAGAGCUCGUAGGUGGUUUGUCGCGUUGUUCGUGAAAACUCACAGCUUAACUGUGGGCGUGCGGGCGAUACGGGCAGACUUGAGUACUGCAGGGGAGACUGGAAUUCCUGGUGUAGCGGUGGAAUGCGCAGAUAUCAGGAGGAACACCGGUGGCGAAGGCGGGUCUCUGGGCAGUAACUGACGCUGAGGAGCGAAAGCGUGGGGAGCGAACAGGAUUAGAUACCCUGGUAGUCC